rnacentral:misc_RNA from 1 species
GCCUGAAGUAACGUUCGUACUCAGGAUCCCGAUAGCCCAUCGUGCCCUGUGGCACGGUCGACACAUGUGUGCUGUCCCAAGGCAUAAGACGGCAUAUGCCGAAAUCGGCAACUUUGACAUGGAAGUCGUAAUCGAGCAGAAUGUUCGAGGUCUUCACAUCACGAUGGAUAAUGGGCGGCUCGAGGGCAUGGAGGUAGGCAAGUGCUUCUGCUGUCUCCGUGGCAAUCUGGACCCUCAUUGCCCAAGUAAGGGUUGUUUGUUUUAUGUGAAGAUGGUCUGCCACGGUGCCGUUGGGGGCAUACUCGUAUACGAGGAGCAACUCCUGACUGCGGGGGCUUGUGCAG